UACGUAGGGGGCAAGCGUUAUCCGGAUUUACUGGGUGUAAAGGGAGCGUAGACGGCGAUGCAAGUCUGAAGUGAAAGGCGGGGGCCCAACCCCCGGACUGCAUUGGAAACUGGCAUGCUAGAGUGCCGGAGGGGCAAGCGGAAUUCCUAGUGUAGCGGUGAAAUGCGUAGAUAUUAGGAGGAACACCGGUGGCGAAGGCGGCUUGCUGGACGGUAACUGACGUUGAGGCUCGAAAGCGUGGGGAGCGAACAGG
rnacentral:rRNA from 1 species